rnacentral:lncRNA from 10 species
GCUCUCCUCUCCUGCUAAGCUUUGUUUCCUAAUUAAAAUCUUCUGCCACUGACACAGCUACUGCUGCUGCUGGAACCGCCAUAGCCACCUUGGUUUCGUGGUUUUGCAAAGUACUGGCCUCCACCGCCAUAGGGGCCAGAGUUUCUGCCUCCAAAAUUUCCUCCCUUCAUGGGUCCAAAAUUUGAAGACUGAUUGUUGUAAUUGCCAAAAUCAUUGUAGCUUCCACCACCUCCAAAAUUGCUUCCAUCAUUACCAAAUCCAUUAGAGCCAUCCCCACUGCCACCAUAUCUACCACCAGCACGGCUGCCACCAAAGCCACCACGACCACUGAAGUUUCCUCCAUGACCGAAGUUGUCAUUCCCACCGAAACCACCUCCACGACCACCACCAAAGUUUCCAGAACCACUUCGACCUCUUUGGCUGGAUGAAGCACUAGCCAUCUCUUGCUUUGACAGGGCUUUUCUAACUUCACAGUUGUGGCCAUUCACAGUUAAGUGGGCACCUGGUCUUUGAGAAUCUUCUCUGGAGACAGCUCUCUUUGGUUCCACAACUCUUCCAUCCACCUUGUGUGGCCUUGCAUUCAUAGCUGCAUCCACCUCCUCCACAGUGGCAUAUGUGACAAACCCAAAGCCCCUGGAGCGCUUGGUGUUUGGAUCUCUCAUUACCACACAGUCCGUGAGCGUUCCCCAUUGCUCAAAAUGGCUCCUCAGGCUCUCAUCAGUUGUUUCAAAGCUCAACCCUCCAAUGAAGAGCUUCCUCAGCUGUUCGGGCUCUUUAGGAGACUCUGACUUAGACAUGACGGCAGGGUGAAGAGAGACUUUAACGAUGCUUCUUCGGCGGCGUCCACGGGCAGAAAG